CUUGGCCAUUCCCCAGAGGCAGAACCUGUUGUGCAUGUUUAUAGGGUUUAGCUUCACUCACUGCAGCGUACAUCUGAAGUCACAGGAGGAAAGAAGCACUUGGUCAUCACCUUCAGCACUUCCACUGAAAAUCCUUAAGGAAAGUAGCAGCAGUGGUCCUUUCUCCAGCAGCAAUGAGAGGACAGCUAGAAUGAAAUGCUGGUGUUUGCUAUCUACAGGCUAAAAAUCAGGGUGAAGUCUGUAUGCCUCUUGUGAUCUACAGUGCACUCAUUCUACCUGACAUCAGACCUGAGAUGUGAUUGCCCUGUGAAAGACCUAACUGAGAGCAAUCUGGAAAGAACAAAUACAGCAAGAGUUGCUUACAGGACCCCAAAGUUAUGUGAUCAGCUAAAGAAGCAGAGAUGUUUGCUUAGUCACUAACAACUGAAUGAAAUGCAAGCAGGAAAGAGCAAGAUGUCAUGUGAGGCUUUUCAACUGCAUGGAGAAUCUGGUUUUGAUCACUGCAGAGAACAUUGCUGGUUUGCUUCUGCAGCACGUGAUCUGGGGUCAUACUCCUGUCUGAAGUCAUCUCUAUCCAGAGCUUCUACUAGCAAGAGGGUUUGUUUGGAGUUGUUUUUUUUGUUGUUGUUUGGUGGGGUGUUUUGUUUUGUUUUGCUUGUUUGUUUGUUUUUGUUUGUUUCCUUUUUCUUUUCUUUUUUACAAGAGCAAGCUCAUCUCAAUUUAGAUUUCUUUACCACAGAGAAGGAAUAUUAUAAGUCUCCUUUUCAGGAUUCUGCUCCUGCAUGCCUUUCUCUCAGGGCAACCUUAUUUUAAGACUGAUACGAACAUAAUCAUCAUAUUCAUACUUUUUAAAAUCAGUGUGUUCUUUGAAAAGGUAAGAGCUAUUUCAACACCUUCAGUAAAAUACUGUUGGCAUUGAAUGAAUACUAACAGUAAAAUAGGAGUGAGAUGUGCUAACAUGCUUACUGGCUCCCUUGCAUGCUGGAUUCAGACCUCACCUAUACUCUGAUGCUUCUAAAUGAAGGUGGAUUUAUUCUUUUAUUUUUCAGAGCAAAAUCUAUUCUGGAUUGUUCUGAAUUGGUACAGAUAAAAGAACUCUUAGCAGGCAAAUAUUUGGUAUGAAAGCACUAAAACAACAAACACUGCAGCCUGGUUUUAUGAGGUACUCCAAACACCCCUUUGCUGUUGACCAUUCAGGUAUCUUAGGCAACCAUUUAGUUUUUUCAUACUGAAUCAUCAGUGUUGUGUUACUGUAUUUUUUCUGCUUAUAUACUUACAGUUGAGUGUUAAUCAGCCUGGCUCACAAAACUCACAUAUAUGAGUUACUAUAAAAGUUAGGCACAUUUACUCCAAAGAUAUUUUGUUAGUCACAUAUACACUUGCAAAUUUGUAAAGAGUGA
rnacentral:lncRNA from 1 species